CCUUCGGGUUGUAAAGCACUUUCGGCCGGAACGAAAUCGCGCGGGCUAUUACCUCGCGUGGAUGACGGUACCGGAAGAAGAAGCACCGGCUAACUACGUGC
rnacentral:rRNA from 1 species